rnacentral:rRNA from 1 species
CCUACGGGCAGCAGCAGUCGAGAAUCAUUCACAAUGGGGGAAACCCUGAUGGUGCGACGCCGCGUGGGGGAAUGAAGGUCUUCGGAUUGUAAACCCCUGUCAUGUGGGAGCAAAUUAAAAAGAUAGUACCACAAGAGGAAGAGACGGCUAACUCUGUGCCAGCAGCCGCGGUAAUACAGAGGUCUCAAGCGUUGUUCGGAAUCACUGGGCGUAAGGCGUGCGUAGGCUGUUUCGUAAGUCGUGUGUGAAAGGCGCGGGCUCAACCUGUGUAUGGCACUUGAUACUUGCAAGCUGGAAUGCGGUAGAGGUAAAGGGAAUUCCUGGUGUAGCGGUGAAAUGCUUAGAUAUCAGGAGGAACAUCGGGGGCGUAAGCGCUUUACUGGGCCGUAAUUGACGCUGAGGAACGAAAGCCAGGGUAGCAAAUGGGAUUAGAUACCCGAGUAGUC